UCCCGCCGCCCACCCCUCACGAGCUCAAACCCUCACCUAUUCUAAGGUGCUCCAUCCCCACCCUGUCACCAAGAAAUCCGGCCUCCUCAUCGUCCUCGGCACCGAGCAGAUCCCGGCGAAGACCAGGCUCAACCUGCGCCGGAAGCUCCUGUCGGCCGUGGCGGAGCACUGCUCCACGCCAUAUUGCUUGUCCACCGCUACCCCCGCGCCGUCCUGCCUCUCCACGAGUGCCCCCACACCGCCCUGCUCCCCGGCGUCGCCACCCACUCCCUGCUGUGGCAGCCGGUGAUUUCCCAUGGUGAGGCAACUCCCUCCCCUCCCCCCUUCUCCCUUUCUCGAACCUGACAACCAAAUUCAUCUCCCAGAUCAGAACACACCACCACCGGCAGGUUCUUCUUCAGAAGGCCAGACGUCUAGGGUUCAUCUUCAAGAGACCAUAUCCAUCUUCAGAGGCAACUCUCUCUCCCUCCCUCCCUCCCUCCCUCUCUCUCUCUCUGAAAAAUCCUUCAACAUUAUGUUUCUUCGUCUGUGAUUUAGUGCACUGUAUGUGGUUGUUCUUUGCUUAGAAAACAUUAUUGUUAUAUCUGUUGGUAUAUGAUGACUCGAAGUAAUUUCAGUUUUAGAUGAAUUUUGUUCAUAAGAUGUAGUAUAUCCAGGAUCUUUUUUCUUUUUUUUAGUAUAUGAUGUUGUGAUUUAGUAGUUUGGAGCCUGGCACUUCAAUUCAAAACUGACGUCAAUACCUAAAAUAAUAAAAAGAACAAGAAAUGGUGGCUAGCAAACAUAUCUUUUUUAUAAAAUUGGUGAGCUGAAUAUCCAAGUAAUGGUUUGUCUAUAACUAAUUUGGCUGCUAGAUUUUUCGAAGUUGUUAGACUCUAAUUUGAUGGUUAUAUAUUAGGUAAUGCUUUGUCUAUAACUAAUUUGGCUGCUAGAUUUAUUGAAGUUGGUAGACCGUAUUUUGAUGGUUAUAUAUUAGAGCUAAAGAACAAUAUGUACUGAACAAUAAAGAACAAUAUGUAUUUUUUUCUCUUAACAGAGCUUCUCUAAGCUUUUCUAAUAUGUUAUCCUAGUUUAUUCCUAGUAGCUCCCAGCAAAUGCAGUGUGUGAACAAGUAUUGAAUGUUUUGUUUAGGCUUUGGUUCUUAUGUGAUUUUUUUCUUCAGAAAACUGCACCGUGGGCAUUCAUCUUCAAGUGAUUAUCCAUCUAAGGUGCUUGUUGCAACCAGUUCGGUGAACAUUUAAAACACUGCCCAGCAAAUGAAGGGUGGAAACAGAGUACUAACCAGGAAUGCCACUAUUCAAUGGGAUCGGAAUGACGCCUGGAGUCCUGAAAGGUCAAAGCUAAAUACUAGUCUGCAUCCGCCUACCUUGGCAGGGAUACCAGGGCGAAAAUGUUGGAACCGUUUGGACAGAUGUACCUUAUAAGUGUUCUCCCUUCCUGCCCAAAACAAUGUUAGACAUGUGGACAGAGGGCUUCUAUGCCACACUCAUGGCUACUGCUGGAUGUUGAUUGGCGGUCUUCACGACCAGAAUUCUAGUUUUGUAGAUUAG